rnacentral:misc_RNA from 1 species
GAUGAAGAACGUAGCGAAAUGCGAUAAGUAAUGUGAAUUGCAGAAUUCAGUGAAUCAUCGAAUCUUUGAACGCACAUUGCGCCCGCUAGUAUUCUGGCGGGCAUGCCUGUCCGAGCGUCAUUUCAACCCUCAAGCCCCCGGGCUUGGUGUUGGGGAUCGGCGAGCCUCCGCGCCCGCCGUCCCCUAAAUCUAGUGGCGGUCUUGCUGUAGCUUCCUCUGCGUAGUAGCACACCUCGCACUGGGAAACAGCGCGGCCACGCCGUUAAACCCCCAACUUCUGAACGUUUGACCUCGGAUCAGGUAGGAAUACCCGCUGAACUUAAGCAUAUCAAUAAGCGGAGGA